GUGGGGAAUCUUCCGCAAUGGACGAAAGUCUGACGGAGCAACGCCGCGUGAGUGAUGAAGGUUUUCGGAUCGUAAAGCUCUUUCGUUAGGGACGAACGUGCUCUUUGUGAAUAAUGAGGAGUAAUGACGGUACCUAAAUAAGAAGCCACGGCUAACUACGUGCCAGCAGCCGCGGUAAUACGUAGGUGGCAAGCGUUGUCCGGAAUUAUUGGGCGUAAAGCGCGCGCAGGCGGGAUAUCAAGUCUGUCUUAAAAGUGCGAGGCUCAACCUCGUGAGGGGACAGAAACUGGUAUUCUUGAGUGUCGGAGAGGAAAGUGGAAUUCCAAGUGUAGCGGUGAAAUGCGUAGAGAUUUGGAAGAACACCAGUGGCGAAGGCGACUUUCUGGACGAUGUCUGACGCUGAGGCGCGAAAGCUAGGGGAGCGAACGGGAUUAGAUACCCCAGUAGUCC
rnacentral:rRNA from 1 species